rnacentral:rRNA from 1 species
AUUGAACGCUGGCGGCAGGCCUAACACAUGCAAGUCGAGCGGAUGAGUGGAGCUUGCUCCAUGAUUCAGCGGCGGACGGGUGAGUAAUGCCUAGGAAUCUGCCUGGUAGUGGGGGACGACGUUUUGAAAGGAACGCUAAUACCGCAUAUGUCCUACGGGAGAAAGUGGGGGAUCUUCGGACCUCACGCUAUCAGAUGAGCCUAGGUCGGAUUAGCUAGUUGGUGAGGUAAAGGCUCACCAAGGCGACGAUCCGUAACUGGUCUGAGAGGAUGAUCAGUCACACUGGAACUGAGACACGGUCCAGACUCCUACGGGAGGCAGCAGUGGGGAAUAUUGGACAAUGGGCGAAAGCCUGAUCCAGCCAUGCCGCGUGUGUGAAGAAGGUCUUCGGAUUGUAAAGCACUUUAAGUUGGGAGGAAGGGCAGUAAGUUAAUACCUUGCUGUUUUGACGUUACCAACAGAAUAAGCACCGGCUAACUUCGUGCCAGCCGCCGCAGUAACAC